rnacentral:rRNA from 1 species
AGUGAACGCUGGCUGUAGGCCCAACACAUGCCAGUCGAACGGCAGCACAGUAAGAGCUUGCUCUUACGGGUGGCGAGUGGCGGACGGGUGAGGAAUACAUCGGAAUCUACUUUUUCGUGGGGGAUAACGUAGGGAAACUUACGCUAAUACCGCAUACGACCUACGGGUGAAAGCAGGGGAUCUUCGGACCUUGCGCGAUUGAAUGAGCCGAUGUCGGAUUAGCUAGUUGGCAGGGUAAAGGCCCACCAAGGCGACGAUCCGUAGCUGGUCUGAGAGGAUGAUCAGCCACACUGGAACUGAGACACGGUCCAGACUCCUACGGGAGGCAGCAGUGGGGAAUAUUGGACAAUGGGCGCAAGCCUAAUCCAGCCAUACCGCGUGGGUGAAGAAGGCCUUCGGGUUGUAAAGCCCUUUUGUUGGGAAAGAAAAGCAGCAGGUUAAUACCCCGCUGUUCUGACGGUACCCAAAGAAUAAGCACCGGCUAACUUCGUG